CCCAGCCCUGGAUGCCCAGCUGUUCCCACUUGGUGAUGGGCACUGAGCACAGACGGCUUACCAUGGAGCUGGCGCUGAACUGGGUUUUGCUUUUUGCAAUUUUGAAAGGUGUCCUGUGUGUGGUGCAGCUGGUGGAGUCCGGAGGAGGCUUGGUACAACCUGGAGGCUCCCUGAGACUCUCCUGCAUGGCCUCAGGAUUCACCUUCAGUAACUACUGGAUGAGCUGGAUCCGCCAGGCUCCAGGGAAGGGGCUGGAGUGGAUCGCAGGCAUCGAUAGCAGUAGUAGUUACAUACAAUACGCAUACUCUGUAAAGGGCCGAUUCACCAUCUCCAGGGACAACGGCAAGAACACGCUGUACCUGCAGAUGAGCGGCCUGAGAGCCCAGGAUUCCGCUGCGUAUUACUGUGCUAGAGACACAAGUGUGAGAUCUUGCAGCUCUCUCCUCUCUUUGGCCACCUCAGGAAACCUGGACACCAAGCUCAGUCCAGCACCAUUAGGAGCCCUGAACUCAGGAGAGGAGGAAGAGAAGCAGCUGGCCUGGAUUCAGGGCAGUUUCCAGGAACCACGUUGA